rnacentral:rRNA from 1 species
AGUGAACGCUGGCGGUAGGCCUAACACAUGCAAGUCGAACGGCAGCACAGUAAGAGCUUGCUCUUACGGGUGGCGAGUGGCGGACGGGUGAGGAAUACAUCGGAAUCUACUUUUUCGUGGGGGAUAACGUAGGGAAACUUACGCUAAUACCGCAUACGACCUACGGGUGAAAGCAGGGGAUCUUCGGACCUUGCGCGAUUGGAUGCGCCGAUGUCGGAUUAGCUAGUUGGCGGGGUAAAGGCCCACCAAGGCGACGAUCCGUAGCGGGUCUGAGAGGAUGAUCAGCUAGCUUGGAACUGAGGAACGGCCCAGACUCCUACGGGAGGAAGCAGUGGGGACUAUUGGGCAAGGGGGGAAAGCCUGAUCCAGCCAUACCGCGUGGGUGAAGAAGGCCUUCGGGUUGUAAAGCCCUUUUGUUGGGAAAGAAAAGCAGCAGGUUAAUACCCCGCUGUUCUGACGGUACCCAAAGAAUAAGCACCGGCUAACUUCGUG